UACGUAGGGGGCUAGCGUUGUCCGGAAUCAUUGGGCGUAAAGCGCGUGUAGGCGGCCUCCUCAGUCUGGUGUGAAAGCCCGGGGCUCACCCCCGGAAGUGCAUUGGAUACUGGAUGGCUUGAGUUUGGGAGAGGGACGCGGAAUUCCAGGUGUAGCGGUGAAAUGCGUAGAUAUCUGGAGGAACACCGGUGGCGAAGGCGGCGUCCUGGACCAACACUGACACUGAUGAGCGAAAGCCAGGGGAGCAAACGGG
rnacentral:rRNA from 1 species